UACGUAGGGUGCGAGCGUUGUCCGGAAUUAUUGGGCGUAAAGGGCUCGUAGGCGGUUUGUCGCGUCGGGAGUGAAAACACCGGGCUUAACUCGGUGCUGGCUUUCGAUACGGGCAGACUAGAGGUAUGCAGGGGAGAACGGAAUUCCUGGUGUAGCGGUGAAAUGCGCAGAUAUCAGGAGGAACACCGGUGGCGAAGGCGGUUCUCUGGGCAUGUCCUGACGCUGAGGAGCGAAAGUGUGGGGAGCAAACAGG
rnacentral:rRNA from 1 species